CCUUCACGGGGGGUGGCGGCUUGGUGACGUCACUGUAAGUCUUUAAAUACCCGCCUCUCACGUCGUCACGUUCUCUUGGAAUUUGCUGCCAUCUUUGGAAGACACAUCUUCCCAGGAUGCGAGCCAAGUGGAGAAAGAAGCGUAUGCGCAGGCUGAAGCGCAAAAGGAGAAAGAUGAGGCAGAGGUCUAAAUAGAGAGCUUCUCCACAGCUACUGCAGCCUGGCUGUGACUGAGCAGUGACUGCUGAGCUCAGACCCCUGAGCAGGACCCCCUCACGAGGACCGCUGUGCCUGGACAGGAUACCCCCGCCGCGGGCAGAGACACCCAUUACAGCCACCUACGUGCCGGAGACCCAUGAGACAAUCUGGAGGGGUGCAGAAAGAGCCGCCUUCCUCUGUGGAUCCCAGUGGACUCUGUACAUUCCCAGUCUGAUGCAGUAGCUUUGUACAAAAAUAAAGAACUUUUUUUUGGUUUUAAAUCA